UAUAUCGUCGAAAUAAUUAAUCCUAUAUAACGUCAUGCAACUUUAAAGUCACGCAUAUAUAUAUAUACAUAUAUAUAUGUGAAUUUGUAAUUUGAUUUCAUAUUAAUAUAAGUUACACUUAUUUCAGUAUAAUUAUAUUAAAAUAAGUAAUACUAUAACUUUAUAGCAUUAUAUAAUUUUUUUUGUGUAAACAAAAAAAGAACUGAAUUAUAGACAAUUAAUAUUAUAUUAUUUUGCCACGGAAGAAAAGAUUAGUUUUUAAAAAAUACAUUCUAUUUCCAAUAAUCGAAAAAUAGAAAAUAUUAUUGCUAACGAAUUAGAAGUAAUGGUAAAGCGUAAAAAAUCAAUCGUUAGAGAAUGUCAAAGAUCGUAAAGGAAAUCAUGCUGGUUAGAUUUGUGAGUAUUACGUGCAAUCUAGAUUCGUCAGCCAUCGUUAAAGCAUAAUUUUUAUUUGGCUUACAUAAGUCUAUGGCUUAUUGUACUUAUAUUUCAAUGACGACGUACUUUUCUUAUCUUUGAAUUCGAAUCUCUUCUAUUUUACCUAAAGAGACGCCUUUUUUUUCUCAUUUUUUUUUUUUUUUUUUUUUUUUUUUUUUUUUUUUUUUUUUUUUUUUUUUUUUUUUUUUUUUUUUUGAAGGAAAGUAUGCUUGUAGGGAGGACCUAGCUAUCUACCUUUCUUCAGUAUUACAGAAUCCUUCUUGGGAUCCAGACAUAUAACUCACAAGUCUGAGAUAAAGAGAAAACGGGUGCUCUUUAAGAAAGUAAAAAAGAAAGAAGGAAGGAAAGAAAGAAAGAAAGAGAGAGAGAAAGAGAGAAAGAAAAAGAGAAGAAAAAAAGAAAAAGAAGACGACGACAAGUUCGUGACGAGAAACACUUUGUAGAAGAUGAAUUCCAAGAAAAUUUAAACUGGAUAUAAGGUACGAAUGGAAAAUCUUGAGAAAGGGAAAGUAAAGUGACGAGUUCUAUCGAUAUAACGAUAUUGACAUCAUCGCAAAAGUUAACAUUAUAAAUUUCAAGGUUUUACAAUUAUAAAAGAGCGUCUAUGAUUGACAUGGCCUUGAAUUCAAACACGAAGAUCAUUGAAGUUUGUACAUGUGCGUUGUCGAUGAGAACGAAUUAUUUUAAUCCAUAAAAAAAAAAGAAUUAUACUUCUAACAUGUUAUACUACAAACAUGUAUUUAUACUUCGUGACGUUAUGGCGUGUGUUCUAAGGAAAGAAGAAAAAAAAGAAAAAAAAGAAAAAAAAGAAAAAAAAAGGAAGAAAAAGAGAGAUUAUUACGAUCUAGUAAAAAGGUCGAUUUAAAAAUGAUCUAUCUUGGAUCGGAUUUAACGGAAGGCGGAGCGUAUACGGUAGGAAGAGCUCAAUUCUUCUUAACGAACCAUUCGCCUUUCACCGUGUUGCCGCCAUUUUCGAGUAUCUCAUGCUCUAUCACAUAUAACUCGUUUAAUACGAAGACAAAAUAUCCUUCAGGUAUUUAAAUUUAGUAAAUAUAUUUUUUUUCGCUAAAAAAAAAAAAUAAAAUAAAAUAAAAUAAAAUGAAACAACAAAAUAUUAUGAUUUCUUAAUUCUAUGCACAUGAGUAUUUGAAUGUAUAUAUUUUGCCGAUACAAGAAAAGCUGUUGUAAAAAAACAAAAAAAAAAUAAAAAAAAAUAAAAUAAAAGAAUAAAUAAAUAAAAAAGAAUAAAAAGGAAUACAAAAAAAAAAAUACAAAAAUAAAAAAAUACAAAAAUAAAAAAAUACAAAAAUAAAGAACAUGCUGAUAAGGCGCGAUUGGACUUGGAUCCGGCGGUUACAUACAUAUCUCUGAAAGGUUGCAAUUAAACGUCACUAUUGCUAUAUCAUUCUCUUCUUGUCUAGAAAUGUCGAUUGUAAGAAAUAAUCGAGAUAAAGAAAUCCAAAGAGAAAGAGAAUGAGAGAUAUAGAUUAGAAAGAAAAAAAAAAAAACAAGAGCAAUCACAUAUUUACUUGCAAGCAAAGUAAAGAUCUUUCUCUUAGAAAUAAAUAUAUUACAUAAUAUCUAUGGUACGCUGAUAAAGACUCGAGUAGAUUUCGUUUAACAUAAAGACGAUCGAGAUGAUAUUAAUGUGAUUGAAAAAAAAAAAACCGCAUAAAAAAAAAGAAAUAAAUAAAUAAAUGAAGUUAAAACAUAUUAAAGAUUACAUUGGAAUUUUAUCAUUCUCGUUAUCAUACAUAUUCUCCAUUCAAAAAAUUCUAAUCACGAACAGACGGUUUGUUCUUGUCUUGUCUUGUCUUGUCUUAGAUAAUUUUUAAUAUGUGACAUAUAUAAAAAGGACAUCGUUAAUAACUUAAGAAAAUCCUCGAAAAGAAAAUUUUUACGAAUGUAAUAAGACAUAUCAUCGAUAAUAAAACGUUCAACGAAUAUGAUUCAUAUUACGUCUAAUGAGAGUCAAAUCCGUCGCCAUAUUAUUAGAUUAGAACACUUUUGCGGUUAAUCUUACUCUGCAAGGAAGAUACCGCGAAAAAGAUAGAUAAAGGGUAACGACACUCAACGAUAUCUUUGGAAGCUGUAUAAUGAUGUAAAGCGACAGAGAUAAUACGUCAUCUGCAUAGGCCAAUUACGAGAUCGAUAAUUACAAGAUAUAUAAAUCAUUAACAUUUAUUCUUCUAACGUUUAGUUUUACGUGAUAUCUUGCAAAUAACAUUUCUGUUUCUUUAAGAGAGAAAAAAAAAAAAAAAAAAAAAAAAAAAGAAAAGAAAAUGAGAAAUAUUUUCAUCUAAAUAUCAGUGCGAUGAAUGCAACGACAAUAAUGAAUUGUCGACGAGAGAACAAUGUUUAAAUUACUUUUGACGGAUGUGGUCUACGUUCGAGGAAAUAACGGUUAGCCUUUUUGGAGAAAAAAAAAGAAAAAAAAAAAAUAUCCUUCAAAACUUACAAUAGUAAUAUGCGCGAAAAGAAAUACGAUAAAGUAAACGAGCGAAAACCAAUCGAUGACAAUAAUAUUAACAAUGAUUAUGUCGACGUAUAUCAAAAAUUCAUUUUAUCAAUGAAAUCCAAGGGAGUUCUUUACGUGCCUUCUACCAUCCCCCAUCCCUUUCCGUCAUCAUAAUUUUCGCUUAUGAAUUUAAAAAUUAAUUCUCUAUACUAUGACGCGAUAUAAAAGAAACUUAGAACGAACGGAUCCAUUAAAUGAAAAGAAAGAUUCAAAGAGAUAGAAAGAUGCCGAUGAAUUAAUGUACAUUUAUUUACGUGAACUUUGACUCCUUUGCUUCAGCCUGACCUCAGAAUAGACUGCUCGACUGUUUGUGUGUGUGUGUGUAUAAAUGUGUAUAUGUGUGUGUGUGUGUGUGUGUGUGUAAAUACAUCCAUUAAAUCUAAUACUUCUUUUUCUUUUUCAUGGAGAAAAUAUAAUACAUGUUAAAAACGAAAUAUAUUCUUUUUCUAUUAAAGCGCGAUGAGAAAACAAUUUUAAGAUUAUUGGGAUUUCUUAAUUGACAGGAGAAAGUGUGACGAUACUUAAGUUGAAAUAUUUUUUGAAAACUUUCGUUAGACUUUUAAAACGAUCAUUGUGACAGUAAUUAGAAAAUUUAGACAAGAUCUAAGGAGAAUCAAAGUUUCCUUAUUUUUCUACUUUUCUUUUCUGUAUUUUUUUUUCUUUUUUUUUUUUUUUUUUUUUCAUUAUCUAAUAGUAAAAUUUUUAUUAAUUUCUUGCUUUUAUCGUCUAACGAAAACUGUAUAUAUAUAUAUAUAUAUACAUAAAAAAAAAUGUUUCUCUCGGACGACCCGACAUCGUGCACUCUCACCUCUUCUUUACGUAAGAAUCAUUAUAAGAUACAACGUUCAUACGAGAACAUUUCUGACUGAGAAUGCGAUAAAGGUUUCGAACUUCACCUAAAUUCGGAAAUUUUCGUCUAAUAACUCGAUCAUUAUUUUUGCUUUAAUAUAUUAGUCGAAAGGAAGGAAUUUUACAUCGUUUGCAAAUAUAACGAUAAUGUAACUGGCUAGAUGAAAUAUAUGAAUUUCGAAAGAAUUUCAAACGAUUUCUUUAAAGAAAAGAUAUUUAUUUUCGAGAGAGAUUUUGAAAGGGGAAUGAAUGCUGGUAAACAGAUUCGGGUCGAAGUACGAAUUAGUGAGUCACAUAAUCGAGGAACUUGACGAACUUUAUGAAACGUACUUCGUACUAUUUGAUCUCAGUCUAUUUUCAUAAAAUAUCUAUUUUAAAUAGGAUGUAAAAAGGAGAUAAGAAAAUUGCCCUCUCGAGUUAAAUGAUCAUCGCAAAAGUCUAACGUAAUAUUUUAAAAAAUGACGAAGAAAAUAAUAAAAAAAAAAAAAAAAAAAAAAAGAAAAAAUAGCAAAAUUCAAUGAGGAAGGAGAUCACUUGCAUUUUAACGUCAAUCGUGACGAGCGAUUGAGUGACUCAAGGGACAAGUGACGCAGCGAACAAGUGUUUAAAUAGAAAUAAUGGCGACCCUGGACGAUCGUUCGAACCGAUAAAAUUCAAACGUAUUCCGAGACUACGACAGCGACGAAGGGGCGACGUUAUCACUCUGAUACUCAACGUAUAUACAUUCCCCGCGAGCAGCCCCCGGUCUCCAGUAACUCGCGGACCACCGGCCCAGUUCACGCAACACGCUUUCGGUAACACGAUGACACCGACAUCGAUUCGCGGUAUUAACUCCUCGUAAGAUCUUCCAAUCGAAAUAGAAGCAAUAAGGGCAAGAAGAAAAGCAAAUGAAAAUUAGAGAAGAUUAACGAUUACGUCAAAGGAAUUAAUCAUUUAAAUUACUCACCAAAAUCACGAUGUCGGUACUUGGUCACUUCGGGUUCUCCACAGUCGUCACUUCUUCUUCUUUUCAUUUUUCUCUUUGGAAGUGUCCAAAUCAAUAGAAAAGUA